UUGGUUUGCAACACUUGUUAC
rnacentral:piRNA from 1 species